UAGAGAGAAGACAUUGUUGGAAGUGGCAGCAGAGGAGCAGAUGAUGAUAUGACCGAUCCCUGCUGAACCAGCUGAAUUUCCAUGUAUCUAUGGUCACUUUAAGUGACUUCCUCCCCUCCCCCUCAUCGCCUUCAUUAUAUCUAGAGUUUUCCUCCUGUGAAGUCUGGAGAUCAUAUG